GGAGGAAGGGGAUAUCUCCCUGGCUAGGAAGGAACUCUGAGCAGGCGGACCUGGAGAAAGGAGCCAGAGCACCGGCUGAAUAUGAGCCUCCCUGGUUAGAGACCACAGUCUUUUCUCUCUAUUAACAUUUUCAUAGGCCUUGGAUUCUAUUAAUACAGAACCAGUGGGAAUGGAUGCAAAUUGCAUAGGAUAUCUCCCCUCAGGAUCCAAGACAUAACAUUUUCCAGAAUUGCCCAUGAACGUCCAGGUGAUUUUUCUCUGAAUCCAAAAAAAAAAAAAAAGGAUCGCUUAUAAUACUCCAUCAGAACAAACUUCAGCCGGUGUUGCACUGCUAAACUGAACUCAACACAAUGCCUGGCCCAUAAUAAGCAUUUAAUAAGUGCUUGUUAACUGACAAUUCCUCUGGAUUUCAAUUUCCUACUCUGCAAAAUGAAGAAGUUUGACUAGAAGACUGCUAAGGAAUCUGAAACAAGGCUGAAGCAAGAAGAAGGCUUGAAAGUUAGUGAGCUCAUUGAAAGAUAAACAAUUUGAAGAGAUGAGUAGAAAGUCAAUAAUAUGAGAUUUGAGAUACACUUUCAAUUAGGAUUUAGGAGAAUAUAAAGAAAAAAUAUAGCAUUGUGGAAGUCCAAGAAGGAGAGAAUUUUAGGAAGAUGUCAACAACAUCAAAUGCCAAUCACAUGGACUGAAGAAAGGUCAAUGGAUUUGACAAGCAAAAAGGUGAUAAGAGGGUAUCCAUCAAAGUGGAGGUGAGAAGACUAUAUGGAAGAAGAAACUAGAGGUACUAAAGAGGAAAGGCUUACAACCAGUUUGACCUUGAGCGAAUGAGUUAAGCUCCCUAACCCUUGAUUUUCUGACUGUAAAAUGAGAAGAUUGGACUAGAUUAUUUCUAAAUUAGCUUCCUGCUUUAAAUCUAUGAUUCUCCAUCCUUUAUCCUUUUAUCCAGUAUCAGAGGAAAAUUAUUCUCUCCUCCAUCAUCUCUCUAGUAAUAGUCUAGAUUCCAUUCCUUACCACAUUUUCCAGUACCUCACCCCUACAAUCCAGGAUUAAGGAUACUCAAGAAAUCUUUCUGUAAAGCAGGUUGUGAGGGGUCAUCUGCUGAAAGUAUGUAUGGAAGGGUAGGAAUAAAAAGAGAAGUAUUGCACUUUUGGAAGGAAAGGAUAAAAGAGCCUGGAAAAGAAGAGUCUCCCAUGCACUGAGCUAGUUCUGGCAAUGCAG